GUGAUCGUCGACUCAGCUGACCCGGUCGGAACGGAAAAAGAGAUUCCCGGACCCCGGCUUCUUGGCGCGAUGAGGUUCCGGUUCUGUGGUGAUCUGGACUGUCUCGACUGGGACCUGGCAGGGAUCAGCACGCUGGCCAAGAUGGCUGAGUGCACAGGGUCUACUCUGGGUGGAGGAGGGGUGCUGGGUCUGGGAAUUGCGGGUGUAGGGGAUGGUGAGGUUUCUCUGGGGCUAGGGCUUCAGUGCUGUCAGCCUGUACUACCAUGCUUUGUGACCUUGAUCAGUGGCUGGCCUGCUCUGAGCCAGUCCCCAGGAAGGAGGGGUGAGGUUUGCCAGCCUGGCUGGUGUAAGGACUUCCUUCGCAGUCCUCUGUGAAGUUGCAGCUGCUCUGCAGCCAGGUACUAAAGGAGCUGCUGGGAUAGGGGAAUGAUGAUCCAGGCUGGGGAUAAGGGGCUGGUGAGCAGGGGCCUGGCACC